rnacentral:lncRNA from 1 species
UUUCAAGUGAAACAUUCAAGUUAUGAAACGACCUCAGAAAUAUUUGAGGCCUGUUCUACUUUUGGUACCUAUUUUACAAUUUAAGGAGCUGGUAUUGUAUCAUGAUUUUCAAUGACUUUUAUUGACUUUUAAAAUCUAGGUGUAUUCAAUUAAGAUUUUUAAAUACUCUUUAAAAGUAAAGAGGUAUUGUAUCAGGAUUUCUAAAAAGUCUUUCAAAGUUUGAGGUAUUGAAUUACAACUUUUAAAGAGUUAUUAAAAGUCAGUUGUUAUUCAAUAUAUCAAUGACUUUGGUGGAAAUAUAUAAUUGAUAGACUUUUAAUGACUUUCUAUGAAAAAUUGCAUAUAUUUUUUCAAAAAAUUGUCAGGCCAUUUUUGAAAAGAUUUGACAUGACUUUUAUCUUCCCUCAAUUAACCAGUCGCUCCAACCUAGGGUUCAUCCUCUGCAAAAAGUCUCUCCAAUUCAUCCUCUGUGAAAAAUGUUCCUUUUUUUCUCUAUAUAGAUCUACUUGCUUCUACUCAUGAUUUUUAAUUUAUACAGAUUGUUGAAAAUCUCAAUCUUGUUAGAGCAUCUCCAACUAUUGAAAGCCUUUGGCUAAAAGGUGAGUUGGCAUACUUAAAAUAAAAAAAUUUAGCCAACAACUCGAAAAACUCAACUCCAACCAUGCUCAGCUGUUGUCUAUAAAUUUAGCCAACCUCCUAUGGAUGGCUAAAUUUGUCGAAACUCUACAGGCUUGUAAGAAAAUCUGUAGGAAGAUUGCACAUAAUUUAUUAACAUAUUAAACUGAUAUAUUCUAUUUUAACAAUCUAAAAUAUUAAUAACAUACUAUUUUUAAAUUAUAGCCAACUAAUAUAGCCAAUACCAUUGAAGCAAAAUGUCUUACAGGUUCAGCAAAUUUUACAUAAUGUCUUACAGGUUCUAUUUAGCCAACGAUUAUAGCCAACGCCGUUGGAGAUGCUCUUAUAAGCAUACAACGAAAAUUCAGCUACAUUCAGAGCCUACCAGGCAUAUAUGCCAUGCAAAGGCCAUACCUACCAAUUAACCACCCGUACACUUUCAAGCCUAACAAUCCACAUAUAGUGACUGAAUCAAGUGAAGCAGAAUUCUGUAUCGACGAGAAGCACUACUUGGGUAGACCAAAAAUGUUGCAGUAUUAAAGGCAACAUGAUCAGUCUUCCAACAACUCUACGUACUUGAGCUAUAUCAGUCCGUUUAUGGUAUCAAAACACAUCAUUAUUAAAUAUGAAGAAUAAAAACAUAUAAUUCUCGAACUCUAAAAUCCGUAAAUUUAUAGUAUCAAAAGUGAAUACGAAAAUCUGAUACAAGGUCACAAUUAACAUUAUGUUUAUAAAUAUGAUUCAAUAAACAGUAUUAUAGUAUAUACACCCAACUUGGGUAUAGCAGAAGAUCGAGAAGGUAUAGCAAAAGGUCUAGAGGGUUUCAGAGAGGCUAUUUAUGAUUUUAAUAAAAGUCUAUUAAAGUAUUUCAAAGUUAUGAAUUUGUAAAAAAAAAGUCCGUUAAAGUUUUUAAAAGUCAUUGUCUCGGGAGUCAUGAAUUGUUUUUGAAUCUUAAGAAGUCAACGAGAGUCAUUAAAAGUCUAUAAAAUCCAUUAAAGUCGUCCUCCCAAAAUUUGUCAUUAAAAGUCACGAUACAAUACCAGCCCCUAAGUUAUGACAUGACCUCAGAAAUCUCUGAGGCCUAGUGUACUUGCCGGAGAUUAUCUUGUUUUUACAGAUUAUGCUUUGUAGUUAUUUUCUUUGAGCAACGGUGUUUGUGUUUUUUGGUGUUUUCUAGUGAGUGCUAUUGAUUAGACUUUACAAUAGUUUACUGAAGGAUAUUAAUAUUGAACUCUGUUGUCUGCAAAUUAGUUGAGCUGAUCCUGUUUUACAUCUUCAAAUGUCUGCCAGAAUGUACAAUUUGCCAUUUGUUGAAUAAAAAACGUAGUAGCUGUAUAAAUAUCUAUAUACUUAAUUCCUAAA